rnacentral:lncRNA from 1 species
GCCGGCGAGAGCAGCCUUCGUGACCCCAGCUGCCGGAGAAAGAAAUGUAAAAUGCAGCCAGGCGAAUCGCGCGGGUCUCCCCAAACUUCCGUUCUCCUCCGACCCGCUGGAAAGGCUCCUGACUGGGGUGCAGCUGACCGGAGCGGGCUGCAGCGGGCCCGGGUGCCAAGGUGCCGUCUCAGCUGGGCGCCCUAGGGCCGUGUGUGCUUGGCAAGCUGCAGGGCCUCUGCUCCCAAAGCCUGUGCCUCCUGCCGCCAAGGCCCGCCUGGUUGCUGGAGACGGAAAUGAGAUGGCAUACACAGAGCUCCUGGUACAGUGGUCAGUUCCAUUCAUGUUGAAAGGUGUACCCCAGCCUCUCUCUUCCACUUUCCUCAGCACCAAGCCAACGCAGGCAAAUUCAUAGGUUUUCCUUAAGACAAUACCACUUUAGCCAGACGUGGUAACUC